UUAAUCUCGCAGAGUGUUUUUCUUUUUAUGAGAUCGGCGAUUUUGUGGUUCCACGGUAGGCUUUCCAUCACAACACGCCGCCUGUAUUUUAACUUUAUUUCUACUUUAUGAACCUUUUACGCACGGCGGCGAGCCACCGGGGAUGUAGUUUGUCCUGUACAGUCAGUAAUCAUAGUGAAUUAUUGUAGAAAAAAAAAUUAUGGAUAAAAAGUAUUUCAAAGCGACAUGUGUGAGUGUAUGGCCUGUUUGGCACAUCAUACUAGGUUUUGAAAGACGAUUAUUUGCCAUUUUUACGCACAAAUUUAAAAGAAUUAAAAAGGGGAGACAUUGUUGUGCUUUGGUAGCAGCUCACUGUGGUACUGAACAAACACUUUAACCCUUUACUUUGCAAAUUGUUAUUUGCAUUAAAAUGUCCGGACGCAUGGUAUGGUGGGAAAAGGAUUCAGAGGAUUAGGCUGUGAGACGCCGAGUGGCAUGUAAAUAGGGCAAAUAAGAAGCCCGCAUAUUCCUUUUUUUAAACUGAAUGAACAUGAUUUGCACAAGGAACCUGAUUGAAUUUUACCAUCCUGGUAAUUUUGCAGACUAAAUCAUUAAUUCAUUUCAAUAUUCCAGAAUUAUUGCUGAUUGUAAAAUGGUUUAGAAAAUGUCCAUCAUCACGCGUAAAACCAGCGUAUUUCUGAAUAAACCCCAAACCAUUUUACUGUAUUGAUGGAUCCUUUUCAGUUUAAAGGGGGGGAGAGAGCUCAGAUAGAGCUCCCCCCCCUUCUCUCCCCCCUUACCCUCUCCAUCCCCCCGCCCCCUCCCCCUUGUCUGUUUGACUUGUCUAUUCCCCUGCGUCCGCCUCAUAUGAGAGACAAAUCUGUUGACAACAAGGUCGUCCUGUGAGCAAACUUUCUGCUUUCUUCUCCCUCUCCUUCUCCUUCCAUCAUCCCCCUCCUUUUGAAGUUAUGUCCAAAAGGCUGUUAUUAUCUGGUAUUAAUAGAUGCAGCCCCCAGGAAGACAAAAUCAGCUAUUGAUAAUUGCAAGGAGUAUACGGCAGCUACUGUAUCGAUCGGCGUGUCCUCCACUCCCCCUGGUACUGAGAGAUAAGAAGACACACUCUUUAGAGCAAUAUAAUUUCUUUUGACCUAUCUGCUUGCUACAGACUUAUGAUGAAUAGCCACAGUGGCUGAAGUCCUUUAUCACCAAAGUUACCCCCUUGAUAUAAUAUUGAUUCUUUAUAACUAGCUCGCCACACAAAAAUCAAACUGUCCACUUGGCCAUCAUCAUCAUCAAUAUCAUCACAAAGGCGGGAGGAAUGAAGAUCCCUUGCGCCUCUAAAGGCGAGACUGCACAAUCUCCUCUGUAGGCCUAAUCUUUAUUUUGCUGAUGAUGAAAGGAAAGGGGAAACGAGGCGAGGUGCCAUUUAAGACGAGGUGCCAUUUAAUCCGGUAUAGACUACACACGCGCACACACGCACACAUGCACAGAAAGAAAGCUUUUGUGGAAGUAAUUCAUUUGGUGUGAAAUAUUUCCCACAUAGAAAGCUUUUCUGUCUGAUUUUAGGUUUUACAUCAUGUGAAAUUCUGCCCCCUUAAUCCUAUAGUUUUAUAGGAUAUGUCUGUACCCUAUGGGUCAUUAAUUGCUCUAUAAUUGACUGCAGUGGAAAAGUUAAAAAAAAAUAAAAUAAAAUUACGCACGUGUGUUUUAUGAUGCUGCGGAUACAUGGAUGUGACUCAUCCUUUAACCUUUACGCAUCGGGCUGUUUUUUUUCUUUCCUUGCUGCAUAGCUGGAGCCCCAUAGAGGGUUGUAACAACGGGGCCACUCUCUCCAUUCACCGAGAGAGGGGAGAGCGGUGCUGGUGGAGGAGGCGAGGAGGUGGUGGUGUGGCGUGGGGGUGGCGGUGGUGGUGGUGGUGAGAAGGAGGGGUGGCAGAGGAGGGAGAGGAGAAAACGUGUAAUCACCCAAACAACCGUUUGUUCUUUCUUUCUUUCUUUCUUUUUUUUUUUUUUUUCCCCAUUUCACCCCCUCUGGAUCCGUGUCGCAAGCCUGCAGUCUGCCGUGAGUCUGUCUGUCUUUCAUUGCGGAUACCGUGACGGAAGGCCGGACCACCGGGAGGAAAACACCAAGAGGGGGAAGAUGGAAACUGGAUGCAUGAGGAGAAGCACGUCGACAACACAUCCUGAAGUUCAAUUUUUAUAGAGAUGAAAAAUGGCGUGCAGCUGGCCGAGCACUUGCUUCCUCUUGUGGGGGGUCAACAGUUCACGAUGCUGAUAGAGACUCUUACACCUUCUGUAAUAGCAGCGCUCCUACACUCACACAGGUUGCUCUGCUGCAUCGUUGGACAUCCAUCACUCCUACUUUUGUCUGGAUUUUCUCUCAUUACGUUACUCUGUCAUAGCAUUGGUCAUUGACUGCCUGUGCACACAGAUAAGGUUUUUUUUUGCUGAAAUUAUAAUCCAAAUAUCCCUCUGAAUUGAUUUUACAUUAACAACAACUAGCAAUAAAACUGUUGCAUAAUAAACUUUUUGACGUCUUUUUGGGAUUGGAUUGACAGCAGAGUUCAGCCUGGUCAGAUCUUGAGUGCACUCCAAAAAAGGUGCUAAUCAUAAUGCUGAGCUAGCCUUGUUGAGCUGCUAAUUACCUCCAUUAUGAAGAUGCAGGGGCCUGAUCACAGGCGCCUUGGUGUGUACGUGUGUACUUGUGUGUGUGUGUGUGUGUGGUUGUGUAAACAGGAGUGUGUACUGGCCUGUGCCGAUUAAGAGGAGGAUUAGCCGUCCAUCCUGAGGAGGGAGGCAACUCGGGGGUACGAGGAGAGAAGAAAGGGGGAGGGCAGUGGUUGUGGUGGUGAUGGGAGGAGGGCGUCCCCCUCCUGGAGACGAGCCCUGACCUUCUCAUUUCAUCCUCAUUAGUAUCUCAUGUCAACAGAGCAGCCACUCCUUAAUCAUCUGCUAUCAUCCCAGGACUGCACACACACACACAUACACACACACACACAAAUAAAGGCACAGAUAAACACAAACUUGCACACAGGGCUAGUUUCACAGACAGUCACUCACACAUCCUGUAUGCAUAAAUAUAUAUCAUCAGAAAUUUAAAUGAAGACUAUGUGAUACAUAAUAAGCCGUUAAUUACAUUUUUCCUGCUUAACACUCAGUGGAGAUGUCUGGUAGCAAUGAUCCCGCAGUUACAGUGCAGGACAAUGUGUUUAAAAAAAAGAUUUGUAAUCAUGUAAAUAACCCUCUCAGCCCGACGCAGCGAAGUGCUAUCAAAAUUCCAGCUGAAUAGAUUUGCGUUGUUUAUUCAUAUCUGUAAACAGACAGUAAAUCCAAUGUGUUUGUUGGCCUUGACUUGUGGGAUCCAGCGGUGGCCAGCAGCACGGUGGCGUGGCACAGGGUGGGCUCGUCUGUCUGUGUCGGCCUCCGUGCCACAGAGGCCCAGGCAGGGUCGCAGGGAGCGGGGGCUCAGGGUGCCAGCACAAAUGAGCUCCAUUCAUUUCCCUGCUUCGGCAUAUGGUGGCCCAUUGUCCUCGGCCACAGAGGCAGAAGUGAUGCAAUUUGUUGGCAUGUCCUGUCAUUUUCACAAACUGUCCAUCCCACGGAGGCCCUGGCCAGCAGAAGACAAGCAAGGGCAGCUUGUUGUUUCCUGAUACACACAUAACAUGUGUGUCGCGGUGUGUGUGUGUGUGUGUGUGUGUGUGUGUGUGUGUGUGUGUGUGUGUGUGUGUGUGUGUGUGUGUGUGUGUGUGUGUGUGUGUGUGUGUGUGUGUGUGUGUGUGUGUGUUUGUACUGAAGCUAAUCCAGAGCUGGUAGCAACACCAAAAACAAGACAUAUGUAGUCAUUUGGACAAAUAUUUUGAUGAGGAAGAGGAAAGUCAGAAACAACAAGAUCAAUUGGAGUAAAUAAAUGAGUAAAUCUCCCCGAAGAUUAUAUUAUGCAGUAUGUGUGUCAAUCCCUGUUGUUUACCGUGCUCUAACAAUAGUUUAUCCUUAUUUACAGAAUAGAUUUAAUCUGAUCUGGGCUUUAAGACAUGAUAGCCUCCUUAUUUGCGACAUGAUAUGUAAAGACGUCAGCUUUGACAGAGUGACUCAUAUAGAAAAAUAACAAAACGCCAGUGUUAACAAAGAAAUCAAAACCAAUGUUUAAAAAAAAAUAAAGAAUACUGAAACCGCAGAUUUAUGAGUGAGAGUGAACUGGGCAGCUCACCCCUGGUCUGUUCCUUGUUUCACUAUGCCAAGCAUGAAGCUACUGUCUGACAGGAGAGGGGAAGGAGUCUUGUUUAACUUCCUGAAAAAGCACACUUUUGACAUGAGGUGCACAAUAUAAGCAAUGCAGCAGCAGAAAGAAAGAAAGAAGUGUCUAGACAUGACUGCAUUUAGGUCAGACAGAGGAAAACAUAUGAUCACACAGUCAUGCACAAAACGAUGGUAGUAUAUGGUGUUGACCGGCGUUUGGAUGGCCGGGGUCAAAUGUCACUGAACCCAUUCCACACUAACAUUUGUGAGUGUGUGUGUGUGUGUGUGUGUGUGUGUGUGUGUGUGUGUGUGUGUGUGUGUGUGUGUGUGUGUGUGUGUGUGUGUGUGUGUGUGUGUGUGUGUGUGUGUGUGUG